rnacentral:rRNA from 1 species
AGAGCGAACGCUGGCGGCAGGCUUAACACAUGCAAGUCGAGCGCCUGUAGCAAUACAGGAGCGGCAGACGGGAGAGUAACACGUGGGAACGUACCUUUCAGUUCGGAACAACCAAGGGAAACUUUGGCUAAUGCCGAAUACGCCCGUAAGGGGAAAGAUUUAUCGCUGAAAGAUCGGCCCGCGUCUGAUUAGCUAGUUGGUGGGGUAAUGGCUCACCAAGGCGACGAUCAGUAGCUGGUCUGAGAGGAUGAUCAGCCUCACUGGGACUGAGACACGGCCCAGACUCCUACGGGAGGCAGCAGUGGGGAAUAGUUGGACAAUGGGCGCAAGCCUGAUCCAGCCAUGCCGCGUGAGUGAUGAAGCCUUAGGGUGUAAAGCUCUUUCGUCAGGGAAGAUAAUGACGGUACCUGAAGAAGAAGCCCCGGAUAACUUCGUGCCAGCAGCCGA